rnacentral:rRNA from 1 species
AGCUUGCUCUGUGGGAUCAGUGGCGAACGGGUGAGUAACACGUGAGCAACCUGCCCCUGACUCUGGGAUAAGCGCUGGAAACGGCGUCUAAUACUGGAUAUGUGACGUGACCGCAUGGUCUGCGUCUGGAAAGAAUUUCGGUUGGGGAUGGGCUCGCGGCCUAUCAGCUUGUUGGUGAGGUAAUGGCUCACCAAGGCGUCGACGGGUAGCCGGCCUGAGAGGGUGACCGGCCACACUGGGACUGAGACACGGCCCAGACUCCUACGGGAGGCAGCAGUGGGGAAUAUUGCACAAUGGGCGCAAGCCUGAUGCAGCAACGCCGCGUGAGGGACGACGGCCUUCGGGUUGUAAACCUCUUUUAGCAGGGAAGAAGCGAAAGUGACGGUACCUGCAGAAAAAGCGCCGGCUAACUACGUGCCAGCAGCCGCGGUAAUACGUAGGGCGCAAGCGUUAUCCGGAAUUAUUGGGCGUAAAGAGCUCGUAGGCGGUUUGUCGCGUCUGCUGUGAAAUCCGGAGGCUCAACCUCCGGCCUGCAGUGGGUACGGGCAGACUAGAGUGCGGUAGGGGAGAUUGGAAUUCCUGGUGUAGCGGUGGAAUGCGCAGAUAUCAGGAGGAACACCGAUGGCGAAGGCAGAUCUCUGGGCCGUAACUGACGCUGAGGAGCGAAAGGGUGGGGAGCAAACAGGCUUAGAUACCCUGGUAGUCCACCCCGUAAACGUUGGGAACUAGUUGUGGGGUCCAUUCCACGGAUUCCGUGACGCAGCUAACGCAUUAAGUUCCCCGCCUGGGGAGUACGGCCGCAAGGCUAAAACUCAAAGGAAUUGACGGGGACCCGCACAAGCGGCGGAGCAUGCGGAUUAAUUCGAUGCAACGCGAAGAACCUUACCAAGGCUUGACAUAUACGAGAACGGGCCAGAAAUGGUCAACUCUUUGGACACUCGUAAACAGGUGGUGCAUGGUUGUCGUCAGCUCGUGUCGUGAGAUGUUGGGUUAAGUCCCGCAACGAGCGCAACCCUCGUUCUAUGUUGCCAGCACGUAAUGGUGGGAACUCAUGGGAUACUGCCGGGGUCAACUCGGAGGAAGGUGGGGAUGACGUCAAAUCAUCAUGCCCCUUAUGUCUUGGGCUUCACGCAUGCUACAAUGGCCGGUACAAAGGGCUGCAAUACCGCGAGGUGGAGCGAAUCCCAAAAAGCCGGUCCCAGUUCGGAUUGAGGUCUGCAACUCGACCUCAUGAAGUCGGAGUCGCUAGUAAUCGCAGAUCAGCAACGCUGCGGUGAAUACGUUCCCGGGUCUUGUACACACCGCCCGUCAAGUCAUGAAAGUCGGUAACAC